UACGUAGGGCGCAAGCGUUGUCCGGAAUUAUUGGGCGUAAAGAGCUCGUAGGCGGCCAGUUGCGUCUGCUGUGAAAUCCCGGGGCUCAACCCCGGGCGUGCAGUGGAUACGGGCUGGCUAGAGGCAGGCAGGGGAGAACGGAAUUCCCGGUGUAGCGGUGAAAUGCGCAGAUAUCGGGAGGAACACCGGUGGCGAAGGCGGUUCUCUGGGCCUGUACUGACGCUGAGAAGCGAAAGCAUGGGGAGCGAACAGG
rnacentral:rRNA from 1 species